GUGGGGAAUCUUGAGCAAUGGGCGAAAGCCUGACGCAGCCAUGCCGCGUGAAUGAUGAAGGUCUUAGGAUUGUAAAAUUCUUUCACCGGGGACGAUAAUGACGGUACCCGGAGAAGAAGCUCCGGCUAACUUCGUGCCAGCAGCCGCGGUAAUACGAAGGGGGCUAGCGUUGCUCGGAAUUACUGGGCGUAAAGGGCGCGUAGGCGGACAGCUUAGUCAGAGGUGAAAGCCCAGGGCUCAACCUUGGAAUUGCCUUUGAUACUGGCUGUCUUGAGUUUGGGAGAGGUGAGUGGAACUCCGAGUGUAGAGGUGAAAUUCGUAGAUAUUCGGAAGAACACCAGUGGCGAAGGCGACUCACUGGCCCAAUACUGACGCUGAGGCGCGAAAGCGUGGGGAGCAAACAGGAUUAGAUACCCGGGUAGUCC
rnacentral:rRNA from 1 species